GAUGAACGCUGGCGGCGUGCCUAAUACAUGCAAGUCGAGCGAACGGACGAGAAGCUUGCUUCUCUGAUGUUAGCGGCGGACGGGUGAGUAACACGUGGAUAACCUACCUAUAAGACUGGGAUAACUUCGGGAAACCGGAGCUAAUACCGGAUAAUAUUUUGAACCGCAUGGUUCAAAAGUGAAAGACGGUCUUGCUGUCACUUAUAGAUGGAUCCGCGCUGCAUUAGCUAGUUGGUAAGGUAACGGCUUACCAGGGCAACGAUGCAUAGCCGACCUGAGGGGGUGAUCGGCCACACUGGAACUGAGACACGGUCCAGACUCCUACGGGAGGCAGCAGUAGGGAAUCUUCCGCAAUGGGCGAAAGCCUGACGGAGCAACGCCGCGUGAGUGAUGAAGGUCUUCGGAUCGUAAAACUCUGUUAUUAGGGAAGAACAUAUGUGUAAGUAACUGUGCACAUCUUGACGGUACCUAAUCAGAAAGCCACGGCUAACUACGUG
rnacentral:rRNA from 1 species